rnacentral:rRNA from 1 species
CCUACGGGAGGCAGCAGGGGGGAAUUUUGGACAAUGGGCGAAAGCCUGAUCCAGCAAUGCCGCGUGUGUGAAGAAGGCCUUCGGGUUGUAAAGCACUUUUGUCCGGAAAGAAAUCCUUUUCGAUAAUACCGAAGGGGGAUGACGGUACCGGAAGAAUAAGCACCGGCUAACUACGUGCCAGCAGCCGCGGUAAU